UUCCUUACAUUAGCUUUAUUCUUGUUCCUUUUGGCCAGGCAUUCUUCACCAUCACGCUGAUUUCUUCAGAAAAGGUUGCCAACCUUAAACCCAUGCAGGAGGAUGUGGCCGAGCAGCAAAGCAGCAAUGUGAUGGAGAGUCGGGAUUCAAUUCUUGCGUACUUUCGUAAGAAUCAUCUCGAGUUUACAACUUUGCAGCACGCGCAGUACGCUACACUGUGCAUGCUCAUCGAGCUGCAAAGCCAGUGCAAUGUAAUCGGCUACCGCUGCAAUACCUGCAUGGCUGAAAUUAUUGGAAGUCGUUUCCAUUGCCCAGUGUGUGACGAUUAUGACCUGUGUGCUAAGUGCCAUCAGGAACGCGGCCAUUAUCACCCGAUGGAGCAACAUGGUCGGCGGUGAUUAAAGCUUUGAAGCCAAUGAAGGUACCGGUUUUACUAAAAUCCUUAGCCUCGCUGUUCGUGGAGCGGAACAGCAGUCUGUACUACUCAGUGGAGAUGGGCUUGUUGAGGACAAGGUUUCUCAUUUUGUUUGCUUAGAUGGGCCGUCGCGUGUUUCAGAGGAUGCCGUGCAUCAUACAGUGACAGGCUGCGGUUGAACUCGUUUGUUGCCCAGUGUCGCCAGACUGAGUAGGCACAUGCCCAUGGCGGUAAAUUGUGUACUGGGUGUUUUCCGAUUAUUUUUUUAUUCUAGUCCAAUACAACAUAAUAUCAUCAAUGUUUUGUUGCUUUUGUAUUGAAUCAUUGACAUUGACAAACUCGUUUUGAGUUGAGUUUGAGUUGAUUUCCCUGAUCACCACCUGUUCAGAACAAUACGAAUGUUGUAUUUCUUUUGUGUCCAAUUAUUUAUUUUGAGUUGAUUUCCGCAAUCACUUUAGUUUGAUGAUAUGCAUGUUGACUUGCCCGUACAAGUGUCUUUUUAUACAUGAUGCUUAUACACUAUGAUUUUUUAUGAUGAUGAUGAUUUGGAUAAAAACGAUUCAAAGCCACUGCACUCAAUGAUUUUGUAAUACUUGAAGUAUAAAUAUAAGGAUAAUAGCUCUAACAGAGCGAAACAGUUGCUGUCCACAGACUUGAGUAAUAAUAAUAAUAUACUUUCACACAAAACAA